GACAGGGCAGCGAAGAAAGCGGCUGCGCUGGACAGGGCAGCGAAGAGAGCGGUUGCGCUGGACAGGGCAGCGAAGAGAGCGACUGCGCUGGACAGGGCAGCGAAGAGAGCGGCUGCGCUGAAACAUGAAGACCUCCAGAAACCUUGCAGAGAAACACAUGCCCAUGGUGGUGGCAUGAACAAAGCGCGAGAUCUCGCAACUUCCAAGCUCAACACCGCACUAAAAAAAAACAAACAAAACAACAAAACAAAAAGAAAUAAAACGAAACAAAACGAAACUGAAAGAAAGAAAAACAAAACAAAAACGGUUGGGUUAC
rnacentral:lncRNA from 1 species